AAUUCUUUCCCUCAUUUUCAAAGUCUUUUCUGGGUCGCUGGCUACUUGUCAUGCCAAAGAUGACUUACUCCUUUACUUUCCGUAAUCUUGUCAAGAUGAAGGAAAAGGAAAAAUUCAUCCAUUAACCCUUGGUCAAUGGGGGAUUACCAUAGGCAGAGUUGGCACAGCCUGGUCUUCCUGGGCCUCUCUGGGAAGAUACAGGAAGAGAUCUGGGGGCCAUGACUUGGGCUCCCUUUUCUUUCACCCUCUGAGAAGGGUCCAGUGUGAGCACCACUGGAAAUGGGAGUGGACCACAUCGGACCAGCCUCCUUCCUCAGUGGGGCUGCACCCUCUACUUCUCUGGGCCUCAAGCAAGUUCUAUUAGGUGGCCUCCACUCAGAGUCUGACAGCCUGAGCCAAGGAAUCAUGCCGCGUGGCUUCUCUAAAGAAUGUCUGAAAAUAAUCCUCUGACAUUGGGUGGCUUUGCCAUCAGUACCUCGUGGGAGGCCGUGGACAAGAGUCACGGGGGAUGUGAUCUGCAUCUUUGGAUGGACCAUCCGCCUUGCUGAGGAUUGACAUUUUCCCAGAUGUUGUCAGGGCAUCAUUGCUGUGGUAUCAGGAUGAGGAGGGUUACUGUAAGACUUCACAACUCUUAUUCCCCAGUGAUCACAUCUUUAUGAUCAACAGUUUAUACAAAGGGGUGGGAGAACCCCAAUCCUCUUCUCGCUCCUAGCAUUUGAUGAUUCUUUCUAAAGCGUCUGAAACUGCAACUUCCAGGUUUCCAGGCACUUCGUGGGCACAUAUUAAGCUCUUAAAUGAUUUCUGGGAACAUGUAACAGAUGAACUUCUCCAAAGACCCUCUCCUUAUGACUACUGAGUGAGCGAUUACAGUGGAGAAACUGUAGCUGCUUGCUGAGGGUGCCCCCCAUUGUCACAAAGGAGGGACAGCUCACCCUCCCAGCCUCAUCAGACUCGGGUCCCCUUCACUCCUUCUCUGGGCCGGCCAGGUGGACCUUCCUGCUAUUCCUCAUUUGUCAGUCUAUCAUCUCCUGGCUCUGUAACUUUUCGCUGGCUGGCUGUCCCCCAUGCCAACCUCAGUGGGAUGCUUCAUAAUGGAAGGACCCUUCCCUCCCUCCCCUUCAGAACAGGCAGAAAUCUGACUGUUGUUGCAUAUGAGGGUUUUAAGAAUUGUCUGGGGGGUGGGGCAACAGUUAGGUGGUGCUCUGUAUAGGGCACCAGCCCUGGAGUAAUGAGGACCUGAGUUCAAAACCGGCCUCAGACACAUAACACUUACUAGCUGUGUGACCCUGGGCAAGUCACUUAACCUCAUUGCCUCGCCAAAACCAAACCAAAACAAAAGAAUUGUCUACAGAGCCAAAAAUCUCAGGAUAUGCUAAAGGAGAGGGGGUCUCUCCUUCCUGCUAGCCUCAAGGUGUAAGGAUGACUCUGAAUUCUGGAGGAGGGGAGGGAGCUGCCUCUUCCCCCACCAGACCAGGCUGUGAGCACAUGGCGAGCCUGUGUCUGGGAUGGGGCUGCCUCCCAUUUCUGUCUCCUUUUCUUUUAAAGAGGGUCUUGCGAGAUCUCUAAGGCAGCUGGCAUUUUCUACCCUGCCCAGGCACCUGGCACUACCAGAGCAGUUGUAGCAGCUGUAACAGCAGAGACUAACUGGCCAAGAGGGGAGGAGGCAUCCAGAGAAAUCACUGCCCACUUGGCACUGAUCGGGCUGCACAAGGGGAGGUGAGAGGGAGACUCUGCCCCCCAGGCCUGUGGCCAGUGUCUCCGGAAGCUUGGGCACCAGGCUCUUGCACGAUUGCAAUCAUCUCAGGAUGCUUUAUCACUCUGCAUUAUCUUCUUUUCUCUGGGAAGGAAUGAAGCAGCCUCUUCUGGUCCUGAUUCCCAGGAAACCCCCAGGCCCUGCAGUGGCCACUGAGGGAACAUGACUUCUCUUUUCUGAACUGGGUGGAGACCUCGGCUUGGCCACGGCUGUCUGACAUCUGCCCCAGAUGUGGAGGAGCUGUCCUGCCCAGAAGGAGCUUUGUCCCUCACAUGCUGGCCAGAGGGCCAUCCCUCCCAGAGCUCCUGCCUGGCUGGGAGGCCCUGGCUCUCCUCUCCCCCCAACCCCCAACCAUCGUACCCCCAGGCCAGAGCUGGCUGGGGCCUUUUUCAGGAAGAGCAGGCAGCUUUCUCAACAUUUCUGGACAAAAGCAUGUGUCAUCUCUCUUCUCUGGGCAAAGUGCCUCCAGAUGAACGAGGUCCCCUCUCCCUGCCCCCGAAACCCCUAGUGCAGCUUCCUGUGGCUCCUGUUUUCCAGCCACUCAGCAGAUUCUCCCAGGCCAGCCAGAGGGGCCCCUCCUCGAGAAGGUGCUGACCCAGUUCUUCGAAGAUCUCUUCUGUCUGCAAACUUGGCAGCUCAGCAGGACGAGCUCCCCUCCCCCAGGCAGCCCACCAGCUGCUGGCCAGGCGCUGACUCAGUGAGUGGAAGGGGCCCUGGGGAACUCAGACUGAGUCCAACAGCCUCUUCUUACAGAGAAGGAACCAGGCCCAGCCCCAGGAAGGGACUUUGUGCACUCCAGACGCUGACCCCAGUUGGAUGUCUAUUCUUCUGUCCACUCUCUCAUCUACAGAGUAGGAGAUCAAGGCCUAGGCAGAAAAGGCAGUUUUCUAAAGGCCACACAGACAGGCAGCAGCCUGAGGAACUUGGAGACAUCCCUCAGAUGCCAGAGGCAGUGAGAUGGUACAGUGGGUAGGGGGAUGUUCCUACAGUCCGGAAGACCUGAGUUCAAAUCUGGUCUCAGAAAUGUUCUAACGCUGGCACUGUGGGCAAAGCCCUGGCGCUGUCGGGGAACAGUGAGGCAAGGUUCCUGGCCCCAGAGAGCUGCAGAGGAGCUGCCCAGGGAAGCCUGAGAGGAGAAGGCCUCUUCACCGAGCUAGGCCCUCCCAAGGAGAAGGCUUAACAGAGCGGCAGGGGAACUCCAGGAACCGUCCUUGCCAGCUGGUGGGCAUUGCUCAGUUCCCUCCCCCAUAUCUCUGCCUCUGGCCUCUCCUAGCUCCAGGCCCUGGUCAGCCCUGUGCCAGGCAAAUGACAGCCUACAAGCCUGGACUCAGGAAUCCUCUGUGGCUCCCUAUUGGCUCCAGGGAAAAAAUGCAAACUCCAGGUUUGACUUUUGAAACCCUUUACAAGCAGAUUCCAAAAAUGCAAACUCCAGGUUUGACUUUUGAAACCCUUUACAAGCAGAUUCCAAAAAUGCAAACUCCAGGUUUGACUUUUGAAACCCUUUACAAGCAGAUUCCAAUCUGUCUUUCGAGGCUUUUCUCACCCAAAUCCUCUCUAUACCUCACAUUCAGCCAAAUCAGCAGACUUAUCGUUGCACAUUGUGGGGUGCAUGGGGUAUUCAGCGAGGACCAGCCCCUCUGGGGUGAGGGCUGCUUUUCACCUUUGGCAUCCUCACUGCCUGAAUUUGCCCUGUGGCUCCCAGAAGUGUUUGUGUGUACAUGUGUGUGUGCAUGCAUGUGUGUACAUGUGUGUGCACUGUGUGUAUGUGUGUGUGUACACAGCAUGUAUGGGGUGUUCAGUGAGGGCUGCUCAUUCACCUUUGGCGUCCUCACUGCAAAUCUCCCCUGUGGCUCCCAGAAGCUAGAGCAUGCCAGGCGCCAACACCGGGUAAAAUCAUCUGAGCAGUCGGGCUAAACCAGGGCUUACCCUCACCCACGGGUGAGUUAGGGGGCAUCUACCCCAAGCAGAUGAAGACUUCCCAGCAGAAUGGGUGGGUGAGAACAGUUGGUUCCGGGGCCACAGAGGCGGCUGACGUGGUGCUAUGGAGUGCUCAGAGCUGGGUCAGACCUCAAGGAUGCUAAGGUCACGUGCUGCAUCUGGGCCAUCGCCAGUUGUACUGACUCUUCUCCUGCCGUUGGACUUUUAUGACUUAGGAAGAGUGAGUGAGGCUGAGGACUUUGUGCCGCUCUGCCUCACUCAAAUCCAAUUCACAAGCAAGUGAAGACACCAUCCCGCGAGGUCAUUGGCCGUGGUCAGAAAGCACUGUGAACAGGGCCUUGUGCCUUUACAGGGCUGGCCCCGGGGCCCGCAGCACACACAGGCCUCGCUCAUGGCUCCACUCCAGGGGAGGUCCUCCCCGGCCAUCCUUGGCUGUCCAGCUGUGACCAUGUUACCCCUCCUAUGGUGGAACCUGCAAUGGCUCACUGUCACCUCCAGGAGGAAAAAUAAAGCUCUCUGCUUGCCUGUGAAA